GUGAGGAAUAUUGGUCAAUGGGCGGGAGCCUGAACCAGCCAAGUCUCGUGAAGGAAGAAGGAUCUAUGGUUCGUAAACUUCUUUUGCAGGGGAAUAAAGUGCAGGACGUGUCCUGUUUUGUAUGUACCCUGAGAAUAAGGAUCGGCUAACUCCGUGCCAGCAGCCGCGGUAAUACGGAGGAUCCGAGCGUUAUCCGGAUUUAUUGGGUUUAAAGGGUGCGUAGGUGGUUUGCUAAGUCAGCGGUGAAAGUUUGCAGCUUAACUGUAAAAAUGCCGUUGAAACUGUCGGACUUGAGUGUAAAUGAGGUAGGCGGAAUGCGUGGUGUAGCGGUGAAAUGCAUAGAUAUCACGCAGAACUCCGAUUGCGAAGGCAGCUUACUAAGCUACAACUGACACUGAAGCACGAAAGCGUGGGGAUCAAACAGGAUUAGAAACCCGGGUAGUCC
rnacentral:rRNA from 1 species